rnacentral:rRNA from 1 species
AACGAACGCUGGCGGCAGGCUUAACACAUGCAAGUCGAACGCGUGUAGCAAUACACGAGUGGCGCACGGGUGAGUAACGCGUGGAUAUCUGCCUUUUGGUUCGGAAUAACCCCGGGAAACUGGGGCUAAUACCGGAUGGUUCCUUCGGGAUAAAGAUUUAUCGCCAAAAGAUGAGACCGCGUACGAUCAGCUAGUUGGUGGGGUAAUGGCUCACCAAGGCGACGAUCGUUAGCUGGUCUGAGAGGACGAUCAGCCACACUGGGACUGAGACACGGCCCAGACUCCUACGGGAGGCAGCAGUGGGGAAUAUUGGACAAUGGGGGCAACCCUGAUCCAGCCAUGCCGCGUGAGUGAUGAAGGCCUUCGGGUUGUAAAGCUCUUUUGGCGGGGACGAUGAUGACGGUACCCGCAGAAUAAGCCCCGGCUAACUUCGUGCCAGCCGCCGCCGUAAGAC